rnacentral:rRNA from 1 species
GUAGGUGGCAAGCGUUAUCCGGAUUUACUGGGUGUAAAGGGCGAGUAGGCGGGCAUACAAGUCAGAUGUGAAAUGUGGGGGCUUAACUCCCAAGCUGCAUUUGAAACUGUAAGUCUUGAGUGAUGGAGAGGCAGGCGGAAUUCCCGGUGUAGCGGUGGAAUGCGUAGAUAUCGGGAGGAACACCAGUGGCGAAGGCGGCCUGCUGGACAUUAACUGACGCUGAGGAGCGAAAGCGUGGGGAGCAAACAGGAUUAGAUACCCUGGUAGUCCACGCUGUAAACGAUGGAUACUAGGUGUGGGUGGUACUGACCCCAUCCGUGCCGGAGUUAACACAAUAAGUAUCCCACCUGGGGAGUACGGCCGCAAGGUUGAAACUCA